GUGAUACGGUGCCCUGCCUUUGUCGAGGUUGCAUUGUGUUACAAGUGGCUGACUAUGUUGUUCGCGCCGCUGGGCUAAUAGACCAGGGCUAAGCGGUUCAAAUACAAGACAGCGGAGCCGGCACAACGGAACUUGAAUGUGACUACCCCACCACUUUCAUCCCUUUCUGGUCAAAAAAGAGAGCACAAGAAUAUACAGAAGAAAAGGAGUUCCUUCGCUUCGAUUGCAGAAUAAAAUCUACCUCUUCUUCAGUGGUAGCACGUUAAUGUGAA